CGACUGUUUAUGAAACCAGAACUGAAUACUUGAAUUGUAGCCAAAUGUAAAAAAUAUUUUAUUACCUCCCAUUAGCAAGCUUCGAUUUGUUCCUUUCGUUUUGUUUAGUAUACACUCAAAUAAGGAUUAUUAUAAAUCCAGCAGUCUGAUUGGGGUUAGGUUAAAACGCGGAUGCGGAACGGAACGGAUGCGGAACGGAACGGAUAUGGGGUUAAAAUGCGGAACGGAACGGAUAUGCGGAACGGAACGGAUAUGGGGUUAAAAUGCGGAACGGAACGGAUAUGGGGUUAAAAUGCGGAACGGAAAGGAAAUGCGGAACAGAA